GAAAAACCUGAAAAACAUAAGCAUAAUGUAUUAGUAAAAGGAUGAAGAAGUUGUAGAAAAAGAAAAACAACAGAAAGAAAGGAGAGGAAGUAGAGUUGAAGAGACAUAAAAUAAUGUGUUUAAUAAGAAGGGUGUAGCUCAUAAUGAAUUUAAUGUGUAGAAUUCAUUGAUUUGGUUGCAUAAUAAAUAAAAUUGGUGAGAAAAGAAGGGUUGAAUCGUU
rnacentral:lncRNA from 1 species